UACGUAUGGGGCAAGCGUUAUCCGGAUUUACUGGGUGUAAAGGGAGCGUAGACGGUUUGGCAAGUCAGAUGUGAAAGCCCAGGGCUCAACCCUGGGACUGCAUUUGAAACUGUCCGACUAGAGUGCAGGAGAGGUAAGUGGAAUUCCUAGUGUAGCGGUGAAAUGCGUAGAUAUUAGGAGGAACACCAGUGGCGAAGGCGGCUUACUGGACUGUAACUGACGUUGAGGCUCGAAAGCGUGGGGAGCAAACAGG
rnacentral:rRNA from 1 species